rnacentral:rRNA from 1 species
CCUACGGGUGGCAGCAGUGAGGAAUAUUGGUCAAUGGACGAGAGUCUGAACCAGCCAAGUAGCGUGAAGGAUGACUGCCCUAUGGGUUGUAAACUUCUUUUAUAUGGGAAUAAAAUGUUCCACGUGUGGCUUUUUGUAUGUACCAUAUGAAUAAGGAUCGGCUAACUCCGUGCCAGCAGCCGCGGUAAUACGGAGGAUCCGAGCGUUAUCCGGAUUUAUUGGGUUUAAAGGGGGCGUAGGUGGAUUGUUAAGUCAGUUGUGAAAGUUUGCGGCUCAACCGUAAAAUUGCAGUUGAAACUGGCAGUCUUGAGUACAGUAGAGGUAGGCGGAAUUCGUGGUGUAGCGGUGAAAUGCUUAGAUAUCACGAAGAACUCCGAUUGCGAAGGCAGCUUACUGGACUGCAACUGACACUGAGGCUCGAAAGUGUGGGUAUCAAACAGGAUUAGAUACCCUAGUAGUC